CAGUGCCACGGUCGCCUGAGCUAAGCUUUUACAAUAUUGAAUACCAGGGCGCAGAUAUCUGCGCCUUUUUU
rnacentral:sRNA from 1 species